GCACUGGAGAGUCAGAGGCUGCAAACGAUUCUGUGGCUAGCUACACAAGAGAGUUCGGGUGUAUGUUUAAUGGUCACGUGCUGUGAGAAGGACUGAAGAGCGGGUUGGCAGGGGAGAUCACUUGCUGUGUGAUUCCUGCGUGUGUACUUGUCUUAGCAGUGGCUGUGUGGAGAACCCAAACCUCUGUGAGAUACUGGCACUCCUGCUGGAUGGAUGACUCCAGGGUCUUCUUCCCCAGACCAAAGUUUCUGAGUGUGUGAAGAGCAAAUCUCCUCUGUUGCUUCCAGG